CACAGCAAAACAUCUCUCCAGACAAUCGUUUCCUGACAUUUAGCAGGAUUGGGUUUCUCCUUCCACAGAUGCAACCAUGUUUUGUUUCUGCAGUAUUGGAUUAGCCAGAUAAGGCUACUGGAGGGCAGCCAGCAGUGAUACUUGGAGAGCACCAUGGAUGCCUCUUAAAGCAUUUGAUGGUUGGCUCCAAGCAAGCAUCGUGCAGCAGUGAGUCUGAUCCAUCAUGAGUUUAGCCAUGUUGGCAGCCAGGACAGCAACAGCUGAAGAAAAUGCAAGCACAAGCAAUUUCUGCUCAGCAAAGGACCAGGACACCAGAAUGAGUCCUCAGCACUGAUUCUUGCAAGGAAAACCACCUGCUUUUGUUGUGCUUUCUGGAAUAUUCCCUGCAAUAUGAUGGUGUAGAAAUAAUCAUUCCAAGGAAAAAAGCACAUCUCAAGCAUGGACUGAAGCAGCUCCUGUGUUUGCCUGGGGUUUGAGGAGCACAAAGUCCCACUGUCACUUGCCAAACUUGCCAAACCAGCUGCUAACUGUGCCUGUGGAUGGAGCAGGUGCUUCUGAGGGCACACUGGACAGUCUGGGAGUUUAAUUGCAGCCCCUAUUCCAGGCACAACUACACUGGGCAAAAUGUGUCUGCUGGACAUUUCUGCCCAUCAGGGCUGGAUUCCUCCUGACAACCACAACUACAGCUGGGCAGAAGCUUGCAGGGAACUGUGAUGGUCCCAUAACCUGCUGCACAAGAGGGAUGGGUGAAACCUCCAGAAAUGCAUCUUCAUAGGCUCUGUUCUCUGUUCUUCAACCACUCUGUUCUCCUUGAAGUGGACCCAGUCUGGAAAAUGCCCUACUUUUCAUCCCACCCUGCACUUGUGCCAAGAG
rnacentral:lncRNA from 1 species